AAGCAACAUCCCUUCGAUUUACUGGACUGGAUUCAUCUGAUUCAAGUAAGUAAAAUGCUUUGAAUAUUUUUUUUGUGUUUAUUUCAAUGUGUAGAACAUGAACAUAUGUAGUAAUUGUGGAAAAUAUGCCCUACAUUUUAUUUAGAGCUUGUUUUAUAAUUGUUGCAAUAUUACAACGAUGGGUCAAAGUGGUAGCCAAAACAGCCCUGUUUUUGAGAGGAAUGUCUUGAGAGGAACUUUAGUUGAAAUUUUCACAAUAUAACUUUAAACUACACAUGAUUUACACUUUCUAGCCUUAGCCUUAUAUUGGAUUACAUAUUUUAUUGUAUUAGUAACUAUAUAUUAAGAUAUAUUGCUGUAUCUAAACAUUUCAUUUACUUAUAAUGAUUUCUAACCACCUUCAACACUCAGUAUUUUCUCCUUAUCACAGAAUGCAGGACUUUCUAACAAAAAAAUUAUGUUUGUGCAUGUCCGCCCUUUGUCUUAGUCUCUAUUGAUAAGAAAAUGCUCCUGUACAUUCUUAGUCAAAGCAGAAGUGGGGGAUGCUCCUGGUGCAUUUGAGGCAUUGUUCUGGAACAGGUGUUAAUGUUCAUGGAUGUAGGUGUGGUUGUAAACUGGAGGCUACAUGCAAUCCUGUUAGGUUAAUAAACACAGUGUUUUAGCCUCAUUGAUAAGAAAAUGUUCCUAGCAAUUCAUAGUCAAAGCAGGGAUGUUCCUGGUGCAUUUGUGGCAUGGUUCUGGAACAGGUGUUAAUGUUCAUGGAUAUAAGGUGUGGUUGUAAGCUGGAGACUACAUGCAUUCCCAUUACGAUGAUAAUCACAGUCUCCAAUAGGUCAGUAUUGUGUGACCAGUGAAAUGUGUGAACAGGCUGCUUCAGUGCAAUGUGUAAACACUUCAUAAUGAAAUCAGUCUCCCCACCAACCCAUCUUUCCUGUUGGCCAUCUAGAAUCUAGUAAGCAUGUGUGUUGUUUGUAUAUACAUUUAUUUCAAUUUUGUUUUUUCCAUUUCAGAAUGCCACCAGCAGGGAGAGACCCUCGGUACAGUGUGCAGGAUGUAAUUGCCAUAGUCCAAAACGGAGAGAGUGAUGUGGACAUGGAUUUCAACAACACUGAUGCAAGUGACGAAGAAUCAGAUAGCGAUGCCAGGAACUGCUACAAGGAUGAUCACUGCAAAUAAAUGUGGAUGUGCACACAGACUUCACUCGACGUUUUCCACUGAAGACGAAGAGAGGACGCUGCAGACAUUGCAGUAAAGGCUCAUACCCAAAACAAGUGUGAUGCUGUGAGACUGGGUUGGAUAUCCGCCUCUGUUUUUCAGAGGACAAGAACUGCUUAUAAUGUAAAUAAUGUAAAUUAAUGUCA